CCAGAUGCUGCGAAAUUGCAAGUGCUUUUUAGCAGGCUUCCCAACAUGUUCAACGUCGUAAUCUUCUCUCCCCACGGCUACUUUGGGCAGGCAGAUGUUCUUGGAUUGCCAGAUACAGGAGGCCAGGUACAUAACUGCAUAUUUCAAAACACAUUAUCAUAGUCGUUCAUGAAAAUUUUGUGGAAUGACAUCCUGGACUGAUAUCUUUCUAUAUGCUGAAAUAAUGUAAACAGGUGGUUUACAUUCUUGAUCAAGUAAGAGCUUUAGAGGAAGAAUUGCUCCUCAGGAUCAAGCAGCAAGGACUUAGUGUGAAGCCUCAGAUUCUAGUGGUCAGCAAAACUCUACAACAAUCAUUCAAUCCGAAGAUGAUUUACAAAAAAAUAAGCAUUACACCAAAAACUAAUGCAUUUUCACUUACUCUUUAGUUUUACAUAUGUGCAGGUAACACGUCUAAUUCCAAACUCAAAAGGAACAAAGUGCAACCAGGAAUUGGAGCCUAUUUAUGAUACCAAGCACUCUCACAUUCUCAGGAUCCCAUUU
rnacentral:lncRNA from 1 species